GCUGGGGUUACAGGUGUGAGCCACUGAGCCAGGCCGGGCCUAAGACAUGUUUUCACUGUAACCUGCUAAUGAAGAUGUAAAGGAGUGGCUACUCUAUGGCUACUACCUAUCUAUGCAUAAAACCCUAAGAGCUGAGCAUGACAAAGUUAGCUUGGUUCAGUUCACAAUUAUCAUAUGACAUAUACAAAGUAGAUUUUUCAUUUUUAUUUUAAACAUUUUACAUUAAAUGAAAUUUAACCAUAAUAAUUACAGAACAUUACCACAAUGAUACACACAAAUAACCUUUAAAAUAAAAAAGAAUACAAUUCUUAACUAGUUAAAUGACACUUUAGUGUGUAAACAUAAAUAAAAUAAAACCCUGAUGCUAAAAAGGUACAUGUUCAGAGGUAAAAUACAUAUACAAAAACAUUUAAACUAACAUAAUCCACAACUAGAUCACAUUCUUUGCAAGAGAGUACAAAUAUUAGUACUCUACAGCUACAAAAUUUCAGAAUCCUGUUAAAAUCAAAACCGUUGCUGGUUUAUAAUACACAGCACAAUUCAUAAGGCAAAAAUAUAGGCAUUAUCAUCCAGUUCUUUAACUUCACUUGUAUUUUAAGGCAAACUUGGAACUUUUUGCUUAGUAUUUAAAAAUAAAUGGGACUUACACAUAACUUGACAAAAUUAACAAUAAGUUAUCUCUAGUAAAGAUGUAUAAUAUAAAAGACAUAUGGAUAACAAUUUUUCUCUCUGCAGAGAUGUAAACUGGAUUUUUAUUUGACUCCAUAUUCACACCAGUAGGAAAAUUUGUAAACCUAUUGUAUUAAAAAUGUAUUGUAUUCCUCACUCUUUUCAAAUGUGUAUCAACACCAAAUCAAUGUACUGUAAGUGAAAAUCCAGUACAUAUCCAGCCAUGGAAUAAUUGUUAUCUAAUUAAAUCAUGUCUAAUUAAAGUGCUGUUUACAAAGGGAAAAAAGGUUAAGAAGUAGAACUGGAUGUUAACUUGACAUGUGACAUCUUAUAAUUCCUUAACUUUUAGACUACAGAGGUUAUGAGGUUAUCACAAGUUUACUGAACUUUAAGCAGUAAGUGUUUAUUGUAGAAUCUGAUUUUCCUGAAAAUGAGCACUUAGGUGACAAUACCAGGAAUCCAACACCAAAACUGAAAAUAAACACAACAUGUACAUAUAUUUCUCUCAAUGUCAGCCAGAGUCUUGAUACUACAGGAAAUAUAUAUAUUUAAAAUUUCUAUAGUUUUCUUACUAGAAAAUACAUUAUCCAAUUCUAGGAGAUUUGGAGUUCUAUAAAUAUUAGGUUUUUUAAUAUUUCUUUUUCAUGCCAAUAAAACCUAAUUGGACACUAAGGAAUUGCUUAUGCAUAAACUAGGUCUCUAAUCACUUCUUACGAUGUCAGAGAUAAGGAAUUAGAUUCAUCCUUCACCAAAAUAGUUAUUAGGGUCUCUCCCACUAUAUUUUACUCUCUUUGAGUGAAAAAGAGUAUAUCUCUCUAGCUCCCACAGCAUCUAACAGAAUAUCUCAUACAUAUAGCAAACCCUCCAUAUGUGUUAAAUUAUCAAAAUAAAAUUUCAAAACCUAAUGCCAUUUUCCUAUCACUUGAUACCACUUCCUAUAAUUUAAUAUUCACUCACAUUUAAAACAAUAACAGCAAUAACACAAUUUAUAAAUAUCCUUGGAGCUACAUUAAAAGCCACUUACAUUCUAUUACAACAUCCAAUGAUUAUUGAAUAGCCAAAGGUGCCUAACAGAUUAAGUUGUUAUAGAAACAUGUGGCUUUAAAUUCACAAUUUGUCAGCAGAGUGUUCAUAAUGAAACUUCUCACAAAUUUGUAAAAGAAGGCGCUAAUGUAAACAUAUUAGUUGUCAGGUCAGAUUAGUAGCUCUGGUUGUUACGAAUAAUACAGUAGGUUAAGCAAUCCUAAAAUAAAUAUACUUCUAAAUUUUGAACAUUUUUCCUCUUCCUUUCACAGAUUUUCAUAAUUUGUUCACUGGUGUAUGGCUCCUACUACUACUGCCCAAGAUAUUUCACAUUUAGUCUUCAUCAAGAUGAAAUUUAGAUUUUUCAAAAACAAUGACCAGUAUAUGUUUUUGAUCUAAUUUACCAAAUGAUUAUACACUAAUUUGAUAGUGGAGAUGAUACAUGAGUAAAAUAUUGUUAAAAUACAAUGUAUAGAAUAGAUGUGUUUAUAAUUAAAAUCUUUUUUUUUUUUUGAGGUGGAGUUUCACUCUUGUUGCCCAGGCUGGAGUGCAAUGGUGCAAGCUCGGCUCACUGCAACCUCUGCCUCCUGGGUUCAAGUGAUUCUCCUGCCUCAGCCUCCCAAGUAGCUGGGAUUACAGGUACCUGCCACAAUGCCCAGCUAAUUUUUUGUAUUUUUAGUAGAGACGGGGUUUCACCAUGUUGGCCAGGCUGGUCUCGAACUCCUGACCUCAGGUGAUAUACCCGCCUUGGCCUCUCCAAGUGCUGGGAUUACAGGCGUGAGCCACUGCGCCCGUCCUAAAAUCAUUUUCCACAGUCUUUCAAAUUCCCUUAUCUUUUGGGAAUAGGGGAUUAAAAAUAGUAUAAUAGGAUAUAUUUAAUAAUUUGAUUGCUAUAAACAAAGAAAACUGAAUUGGGGAUUUAAAACUAAAUAUGUGAUGAAUCUAUUUUAAACUGCUUUUCUUUAAAUAAAGUCUGGGCCAACUACAAUAGUGCACCUAUUUCUAUGCAAUAGAUUUAUUCAAAUCAAUGAAAAAGUUAUUGCUAUAUAUUAUUAUGUUAUUCAGACAAGCAACAUAGAAAAUACUCAGACUAUCAAUUGUUAUUAGUUGCUCCUGUUGAGUUCUAAAUUAGAAGAGACUAAAAAUCACUUGCAAGGUUUUAUAAUCUGUGCAAAUAUUCAUAAAGCAUGAUACUACAUUUAUGAUUAAAAAUGAUUUUACAUAGUUUUGUAGUAUAUAUUCAAAUCUACAACUGGCAGUUUAUGGAAGAACAAAGAACUGUAAAUUGCCCGGCUAUAGUAUUCAAGAAAUAAACAUAUAUACUAACAAAUGAACCUAUGUUUUAUAAUUACAAAUGGCUUCUUAACAAUAGUCUAGAACAUUAUGGCACUUAAGAAUAUAAUAUGAAUUUUUUUCUUAAGAAAAAUUAUCUUGCAGAGACUUUAUAAGGAGAUCGCAAACAGGUUUAAAAAAAAUCAAGGAAAAGAAAAUCAAAUGACUACAGUUCCAAAAUACAAGUACCGACAUAAUAAUAAAAUGCAAGUGAAUGUGUUUAAGACUAACAGACAUUUACUAAAACAUGCUAAAAUCAAAUAAGUUAAACACUUUCUUUAAAUAAGCUGUCACUGGCUACAGCAAACAAUUUUGCUUUAAAAGAUCAUUUCUUUAAUCAAAGUAGAACUCAACUUAGAACUAUUACUCAAGUAAACAUCGAGUUCCAGUUUUCCUCAAUAACCUUAAAAUAUUCAGUUACCUAAGAAAUGUACAAAGUAAUGCAUAACUGCCUAGUGCUUUAUAUUUAAUGCAUAUAUUUCUGUUUUUAAGAAAGACAUGUAAUAUCUAGCACAAGAAGAAAGAAGAUCAAAAGUGUAACUUUCUUUAAAUCACUAUUCAGGAACCAUGAAAAGCAUAACACAGGCCAUUCUGAUGAUUUUUGGAUGUUAACAUUGGCGUAAUCACUAACAUUUUUAAUAAGCACAAAUGAAUCAAGCCAUUAAAAAUGCAAAAGACUAUCAAAACAUGUCAUGCAUAUCUCAUACUGAACAUCCAAAAGGACAUCAGUUAUAGCCUUGUUAUAAAUCCUACAGUUAGCACCAUUUUAUAUCUGAACACUUUGAAAAAGCAAAGAUCUUAAAAAACUAAAAUUAUAAGGAUAUAUAAAAAAAUUAAUAUGCACUAAGAAUGGUACUAAACACUGCUCAAAUAUUUACAUCAGCACUGGGAGGCCUGCUGUACUACUGAAGAAAAACUGAAACACCUGAUAUGCUUAAACUCCUAUCCAUGCUAACCAUAGCAUAGAUAGGUAAUUAAAUUCAUCCAACGUUAACCUGCCCAUAUACAAAAGGCAUAAACAGUAAAUAUCUGAUUUCCUAAAAUAGGGCCCCAAAUAUCAUGAUAAUAAAAGCAAUUGUCUUAAAAAUUUAUUACAUCCGUAGCCCUAAAACCAUUUAGCAGGAAAGUAUUCAGAUGACUACCUAUUGGCAUGUUAUUUACAACCUUUAAAAGUACCAAAAUAAAAAGCAGCCCUUUGUUUGUUUUAAAACAAAUGAAAAAUGUGAAGCAUUUACAUCUCAGUCUUGGGGGAAAAAGUGCAGAAUUCAAUUGGCAAAGUCUU
rnacentral:lncRNA from 1 species